CCAUUCCUCUAACUCCUUUUAUACCCAUCCCCCUCUCAUCGGGGGACCGGCUGAAAGGCCAACUCCCCAUUUGGGAGUCCAUCACAUCUGAUCGGUGGGUAUUGUCCAUCAUACAGCACGGCUAUCGGAUAGAAUUAGACAUCGUUCCUCCAUUGAGUCCAAUCCAGUUUACAUCAUGCUUGCUGGGACUAUUCGAAGAAAUA